rnacentral:tRNA from 1 species
ACAAAAUAUAGCUUAACAAAAGUACCUUGCUUACACCGAGGAUAUGUCUGUAAAAACCGGACUAUUUUGA